AGAGUUUGAUCCUGGCUCAGAUUGAACGCUGGCGGCAUGCCUAACACAUGCAAGUCGAACGGUAACAGGUCUUCGGAUGCUGACGAGUGGCGGACGGGUGAGUAACGCGUAGGAAUCUGUCUUUGAGUGGGGGACAACCCAGGGAAACUUGGGCUAAUACCGCAUAAGCCCUGAGGGGGAAAGCGGGGGAUCUUCGGACCUCGCGCUGGAAGAGGAGCCUACGUCUGAUUAGCUAGUUGGUAGGGUAAAGGCCUACCAAGGCGACGAUCGGUAGCUGGUCUGAGAGGACGACCAGCCACACUGGGACUGAGACACGGCCCAGACUCCUACGGGAGGCAGCAGUGGGGAAUUUUUCGCAAUGGGGGCAACCCUGACGAAGCAAUGCCGCGUGAAUGAAGAAGGCCUUCGGGUUGUAAAGUUCUUUCGUGGAGGACGAAAAGGUAGGUGCUAAUAUCGCCUGCUGUUGACGUGAAUCCAAGAAGAAGCACCGGCUAACUCCGUGCCAGCAGCCGCGGUAAUACGGGGGGUGCAAGCGUUAAUCGGAAUCACUGGGCGUAAAGGGUGCGUAGGCGGUGCAUUAGGUCUGUCGUGAAAUCCCCGGGCUCAACCUGGGAAUGGCGGUGGAAACCGGUGUACUAGAGUAUGGGAGAGGGUGGUGGAAUUCCAGGUGUAGCGGUGAAAUGCGUAGAGAUCUGGAGGAACAUCAGUGGCGAAGGCGGCCACCUGGCCCAAUACUGACGCUGAGGCACGAAAGCGUGGGGAGCAAACAGGGAUUAGAUACCCUGGUAGUCCACGCCCUAAACGAUGAAUACUAGAUGUUUGGUGCCAAGCGUACUGAGUGUCGUAGCUAACGCGAUAAG
rnacentral:rRNA from 1 species